rnacentral:rRNA from 1 species
GCAAGUCGAACGCGAACGGCAUUCUUCGGAGUGCUUAUUAGAGUGGCGAACGGGUGAGUAACAGGUAGGUAAUCUACCCUUAAGUUUGGGAUAGCCCCGGGAAACCGGGAUUAAUACCGGAUGUGGAAGAAAUUCUAAAGGAGGCCUCUUUACAAUGCUUCCGCUUAAGGAUGAGCCUGCUUUCUAUUAGCUUGUUGGUAAGGUAAUGGCUUACCAAGGCGAUGAUAGAUAGGCGGCCUUAACGGGUGGUC